UAGGGAAUCUUCGGCAAUGGGGGGAACCCUUACCGCGCAACGCCGCGUGAGUGAAGAAGGUUUUCGGAUCGUAAAGCUCUGUUGUUAAGGAAGAACGAGUGUGAGAAUGGAAAGUUCAUGCUGUGACGGUACUUAACCAGAAAGGGACGGCUAACUACGUGCCAGCAGCCGCGGUAAUACGUAGGUCCCGAGCGUUGUCCGGAUUUAUUGGGCGUAAAGCGAGCGCAGGCGGUUAGAAAAGUCUGAAGUGAAAGGCAGUGGCUCAACCAUUGUAGGCUUUGGAAACUGUGUAACUUGAGUGCAGAAGGGGAGCGUGGAAUUCCAUGUGUAGCGGUGAAAUGCGUAGAUAUAUGGAGGAGCACCGGUGGCGAAAGCGGCUCUCUGGUCUGUAACUGACGCUGGGGCUCGAAAGCGUGGGGGGCGAACAGG
rnacentral:rRNA from 1 species